GAUGAACGCUGGCGGCGUGCCUAAUACAUGCCAGUCGAGCGAACAGACGAGGAGCUUGCUCCUCUGACGUUAGCGGCGGACGGGUGAGUAACACGUGGAUAACCUACCUAUAAGACUGGGAUAACUUCGGGAAACCGGAGCUAAUACCGGAUAAUAUAUUGAACCGCAUGGUUCAAUAGUGAAAGACGGUUUUGCUGUCACUUAUAGAUGGAUCCGCGCCGCAUUAGCUAGUUGGUAAGGUAACGGCUCACCAAGGCAACGAUGCGUAGCCGACCUGAGAGGGUGAUCGGCCACACUGGAACUGAGACACGGUCCAGACUCCUACGGGAGGCAGCAGUAGGGAAUCUUGCGCAAUGGGCGAAAGCCUGACGGAGCAACGCCGCGUGAGUGAUGAAGGUCUUCGGAUCGUAAAACUCUGUUAUUAGGGAAGAACAAAUGUGUAAGUAACUAUGCACGUCUUGACGGUACCUAAUCAGAAAGCCACGGCUAACUACGUG
rnacentral:rRNA from 1 species